GACGAACGCUGGCGGCGUGCUUAACACAUGCAAGUCGAGCGAGGCCCAAGCAGUGGCAACACUGUGGAAGGCCUAGCGGCGAACGGGUGAGUAACACGUGAGCAACCUGCCCCGAAGUCUGGAAUAACACCGGGAAACCGGUGCUAAUGCCGGAUGCCCCCACCGGCCGCAUGACCUGGUGAGGAAAGGACCAUGCCUGAUAAGUAGUGGGUGGCUUCGGGAGGGGGCGUCGCGGGCUAUCAGCUAGUUGGUGAGGUAACGGCUCACCAAGGCGUCGACGGCUAGCUGGU
rnacentral:rRNA from 1 species